AGAAUUAUAAUUUAUAAAAAUAUUUAGUUUGCAACUAAAACUUGCUUAAGCUAAUUCUA
rnacentral:tRNA from 1 species